rnacentral:rRNA from 1 species
AGUUGUGAUACCUCAUUUUUAUAAUAUUUUUUAUUUUAUUUUUUGUAAAAUAUUUUAAUUUAUUUUUAUUUUUUUUGUUUUUUGAGGUAUUAAAAAUUUGUUUUUUGAACUGGAUUAGUACCUUUGCAGGUAAUCAAAAUUUAUUAAUUCGGGAGUAAAGUUUUAUUUAAACCGAAAAAAUAUUGACUGACUUUAGAUUUUUCUUUGGAACAUGUGUUUUUAUUGGAGAGCCCUCUUUUUUAGUGAGUUUUAUUGACACAUGUAUGAUUGUUUAGUUUUUAUUUUAUUUUGUAAUGCUUUUUUUGUUUUGGCAUUAAAAACAGAUAUAUAUUUGGUUUAUAAAUUUAUUAUUCAUGUGUUACUAUUAUAAAUUUUUUUUGGAUUAAUUUUUUAUUUUAUUUUUGAAAUUGGAAAAGAAAGUAAUUUUUUCUUAAUGUUUUAAGAAUUAA